rnacentral:rRNA from 1 species
UACGUAGGGGGCGAGCGUUGUCCGGAAUCAUUGGGCGUAAAGAGCUCGUAGGCGGUUUGUCGCGUCGGCUGUGAAAUCCCGAGGCUCAACCUCGGGUCUGCAGUCGAUACGGGCAAACUAGAGUAUUGCAGGGGAGACUGGAAUUCCUGGUGUAGCGGUGAAAUGCGCAGAUAUCAGGAGGAACACCGGUGGCGAAGGCGGGUCUCUGGGCCGAUACUGACGCUGAGGAGCGAAAGCGUGGGGAGCGAACAGG